UCCAAUCGGGCCUGGGCCUAAAAUUUUUGUUAAGUCCAGCCUUGCCCAUGGACACCUCUAAAUGGGAUGAAUACAAAUAAAAAAGGAAAACCUUUAUUUAUAGUUGACCUCUCUCAAAAUCAACAGUACAAAUUGAGUUACAUUGACGGUCAAUAUUAAAAGUCUAUCUACAAUUGAGAAUCCUAUUAGAUUUAAAUUCUAUGCAAUCUUAUCCCUUUAGGAUUUAUCCUAUUUACCUUGGUAACUUUAGUUUGAUUGAAGUAUUUCAUUGGGCUGCCAAGGUUUCAAGUAAAUAGGCUUCUCUAUGGAUUUCACGAAUCGAAUCAAUUCAUGCGGGUCAAAUGGGGCGUUCUGUAUACAAUGGCCAGGGGCUUUGAUUCGCGACCUAUGACAUUCUCCCCCACCCAUUCUCGCAAUGCAUUUGUUGCAUCAUCGGAAUGAUACUGACUUGACUCGCCUUGGAACUUUCUUGAUGCCUUAGUCGAUUCCUAACUAGCCUCUCUGUCAAGUGGUCCUACCACUCGGAACACUUACCUCGACUUCCAUAGUCUUCUAACUCGAAUUAUUUCUCCUUUUUGGUACUUCUCGUUUGCAAGAGUCCACCAAUCUUACUUGCCCACAUUGUGACUUGCCCUGAUCAAGAUCCCUUUGAUUCGAACAAAUAGGAUUUGGCACAUCCACUUUGAGCACUUGGUUAACUUUGAGUCUCGUUAUUAACUUUGGUUUAUAAGCCCUUUGGUUUACCAGCUUUAGAACUUAGAAAGGGUUCCUGUGUUCUUGCCAAGCCAACAAGUCAGAAUGAAAAACACUACCAAAGUGUUUGAAAUAUACCUCACUCGUUGCAUUUAUUCGUCUCAGCUAUCCAGUUUGCAUCGCCACUUUUCCCCUAAAGUCCGAUGCACAACCCAUCUCUCUCUUAGGUGGUAGCUCCGCUAAUAACUCAACAAACUUCAAUCAAUUCGUUGCCGUCUAGCAUUUCCAAUAUGGUCUCUGUACAAGCCCAUUUUUGCCCAGCCCAAAACCCAAAUUUUUACAACCCAAAACACAAGGCCUAAGUGGCCCAAAAUCUAAAUUGGCCCAAGCCCAAAAACAACUAAAACAUUUCAGCAGCAGAACCUAAUCCCUUACCCUAGGGCGCCGCGGCCCUUGCUACUCCCAUGUGCCUCCAACGCGCACCACGCCCGAAGUCUGCCACCUCCAGUCGGCCUUUCACCAAAACGGCAAGUUGACCUUACCAUGUACCUACAAAAAGAGACAAAAAUGGAAUCAAAAAACGUGAAGGAACAGUGGUAGAAAUGAAGCCAAAAUAGUAGACAAAAGUACCUUGUAAAUCGGCUUUAUAGGCCCAAAGAUCGAACAAUGUAAGGGAGAUGAGAUUAAUACAAAAAAAAAAGAACAAAGAUUUUAAAAAGGUUGAAAACCUGAUCGUUUUUUUGGUUUCUCUGUUUUCCGUUUUCUAUUUUUAUUUUAUCUAUUUAUUUAUUCAUCUUUUUUACAAAUCGGUUUUAACAAAUAAUAGAAUAGAGAAAAGGCGAGGGAAAUCUUACCUGCAUCUCGCGUUCGCCGUCGCCCCCAUCUGCUCUGUCAAAAUCGGAGUCGAAAGGGCCUGCUUCUUGGCUGAGAACGGCGAGAGACGGCCUGGGCUUCAAUCGGUUCCAGGGAACUGAAAAUAGAAUAUGGUGGCUUAGGGUUUAUUCUUCUUUCCCUUUGUUUUCUUAAAGAACGGCAAAGCAGUAGGCAGAUUAGGGCAAUUUGAGAUUCUUUUCCUUUUUUUUAAUAAAAAAACGGCGCCGUUUAGCAUUAAUAAACAAGGGCCGACCCGCGCACAGUCCCGAUUCGGCCCCAGACCCGCGUGUUUUAUAGCGCGUGGGAAAUUUUCGCGCCAGAUCCUCCCUUUUUGCGCUAUGGUUCAAUAUAGCCCUUUUUUUUAUUUAAUUUUGACCGCACAAUUUCCUGCUAGUUCCAUUUUAGUCCAUUGAAACGCAGCACAGGAGGUCAAUGGGAUAUUUUCCCGAUUAAUCCCUGCUUUACUUUGCGCAUUUGAAAUUGGUCCCUUUAUUUGUUUAUUUUAUUUCUAAUUUAUCCUGCUAAUUUAAUUUAGGCUGCAAUUAAGCCCUUUCUCUUAAUCCUUUAUUUGUUUAUUUAGUUAUUUGUUUGUUUAUUUAUAUCUUUAUUUGAAAUUUUGUUAUACACGGACAUACACAUUUUUAUAGUAUACACACACAUAUUUUAUGUUAUAUAUUUAUACAUACACAUGUGUUUCAUAUUUUAUAAUUCCUAUAUAUAUAUACAUAUAUUCUUUUUUUUCUUUUGUAUAUACUUUAUAAUCUUAAGAUAUAAGUAUACCUAUAUACAUUUUAUAAUGGACAUAUGUACAUAUUUAUAUUGUUUUAUUUUGAAUAUACUUACAUAUUUUUACAAUUAAUAUAUAUACAUACUUAUAUAUAUUUUUAUACUCUAUAAUCUAUAUGCAUUUCUCAUUUUAAUAUAUAUAUGUAUACACAUACAUCUUUUAUAU
rnacentral:lncRNA from 1 species